rnacentral:rRNA from 1 species
UACGUAGGUGGCGAGCGUUGUCCGGAUUUAUUGGGCGUAAAGGGCGUGCAGGCGGUUUGCUAAGUCUAGGGUGAAAGCUCCCGGCUUAACUGGGAGAGGUCCUUGGAUACUGGCAGACUUGAGGAGGGUAGAGGAGAGUGGAAUUCCCGGUGUAGUGGUGAUAUGCGUAGAUAUCGGGAGGAACACCAGUGGCGAAGGCGGCUCUCUGGGCCCUACCUGACGCUGAGGAGCGAAAGCGUGGGGAGCGAACAGG